GCAGGCUGCAACCCGCCUGCAUGAAGAUGGAGUUGCUAGUAAUCGCGAAUCAGAAUGUCGCGGUGAAUACGUUCCCGGGUCUUGUACACACCGCCCGUCACACCAUGAGAGUUGGCAACACCCGAAACCUGUGGGCUAACCGAAAGGAGGCAGCAGUCUAAGGUGGGGUCAGUGAUUGGGGUGAAGUCGUAACAAGGUAUC
rnacentral:rRNA from 1 species